rnacentral:pre_miRNA from 1 species
UGGAUAGAUUAUUGUAUUCAACUGUAUUCGACUGUAUUCACGGCUUGAAACAGGGGAUUACACUGUUUUUAAACAGAAAGUGAAUCAAUUAACAUAAUAGACUCCU